UAGAUAGAUAGAUAGAUAGAUAGAUAGAUAUGUGAGGCACUAUAUAACAGAUAGAUAGAUAGAUAGAUAGAUAGAUAGAUAGAUAGAUAGAUAGAUAGAUAGAUAGAUAGAUAGAUAUGUGAGGCACUAUAUAACAGAUAGAUAGAUAGAUAGAUAGAUAGAUAGAUAGAUAGAUAGAUAUGUGAGGCACUAUAUAACAGAUAGAUAGAUAGAUAGAUAGAUAGAUAGAUAGAUAGAUAGAUAUGUGAGGCACUAUAUAACAGAUAGAUAGAUAGAUAGAUAGAUAGAUAGAUAGAUAGAUAGAUAGAUAGAUAGAUAGAUAGAUAUGUGAGGCACUAUAUAACAGAUAGAUAGAUAGA